rnacentral:lncRNA from 1 species
GUUCUUCUGAGGAAAACCAGCUGAAGUAUUACAGAAAGAGGAAAUGCUGCAGAGACCCAGCCGGAAACAGUGCUGGCCAGCUCACGCCUGACCCACCCUUAUUCUAAGCAUAGGGUCUGCCUCUGAAGAGCUAAAGACUUCCUGAAAUUUAAAAAUUAGUGCUUUUAUUUGCUUGUCCUGCUAAGACCGUAGGCAAAGGCCAUCCUCCUCCCAUUGACAGUUUAGAGUGGAAACAACCACGGUUACCCUAGAAGUAAAUCCAGAGCUGCGGGACGCUGGAGGACAAAACCAACCUUCCAGGGAAGCCGAGGAGAAGUCAUGCCUUCAAAAGAUGAAGGAACGAGGGCACAGAGAGAUUCGAGUUGUCACCCAAGCUCACAUAGCACCAGUGACAGAGAUGAAGAAACUGACAUCUGGAGAAGUUGAAGUAAUUUGCACAAAGAUUCACUUGGCUAGGCUCAAGCACAGUCAAAUCAUCAUUAAUUAAAAUGUGCAAGGCACCUACAAGCAGCAUAAAUAAAUCAGAAUGGAGAGGCCAGCCUCGUCUGAGUGUCUUGCGAUGUGGGUUAGCCUAGAGGAAAGGCAUGCUCUCUGAAAAUCAGAAAAGAGCUUUUUCCACCCAGUUAAAAGCAAGGAAAUAUGAAGCCACUGAUUGUCCAAGAGAAAGGUCUUUUCAGGCCCCUCCAAGGGUUAACUUUAUGACAAAAUGAAAGAUUAUCCUCUGCCAUCUGUCGCUGAAACCCUGUCUCCAUUUUAUAUUCAAGCCUUGGAGCAAAGAGAAACUAAAGGAAAUGGAGAGACUUUAAAUGUAACUAGGAGCUGUUUCAUAAGUUGAUUUCUCAUUUGUCUUCAUCAGAAAGAUUUCAAGAUUGGGCCAUUUAAUAGACUCUCACUGACAUCUGAGGGGAAGAUGAGCAGUCAACUGUUGGAGAUACUUGGAAGAGGAAUGCAUUCUGCUGUGGGGAUUGAUGGGAAAAUAAGGAGGAGACAGAACUCUAGGUCGUAACAUGGAGACUGAUUAAACUAAAAGCCCAAGAAGCCGGUGCUUCUUGGAACAAUGGCUUCUGUGGCCCUGUGGAGGCAGCAUCCUGCAUCCAUCCAGGGAAAGACAGGUGGCGCUCUACAGGGAAAGGUGAAGUGGCCAAGGUGGUGUUCUUGAGAAAGGCAAUUGUGAGAGUCUUCUCACAUUGUAGGGGUUCAGUUCUGAGGAGAAAGAACAUUUGUCAAUGAAACAAACUGUGAGGAAAUCACAGCCUUUAUGAUGAAACGACCUUCUCAAAGCUUGAUUCCUCCGGCUCCAUCAUUAUCAUUUACCAGAAGUUCAUCUGACGGGUGUGUUGCGCCUCAGUGAAUCUCAAUGGUCUCCCACAGAAUUUCACUUGAGAAAUGGGAUCUGAGGGCCUGGUGUGGUGGCUCUUGCACGCCUGUAAUCCCAGCACUUUGGGGGGCCGAGGUGGGCGAAUCACCUGAGGUCAGGAGUUCGAGACCAGCCUGACCAACAUGGUGAAUCCCUGUCUCUAGUAAAAACACAAAAAUUAGCCAGGCAUUGUGGCUCAUGCCUGUAAUCCCAUCUACUUGGGAGGCUGAGGCAGGAGAAUCACCUGAACCUGAGAAGCGGAGGUUGCAGUGAGCCAAUAUCGUGCCAUUGCACUUCAGCCUGGGUGAUGGAGUGAGAUUCUGUCUCAAAAAAAGAAAGAAAAGAAAAGAGAAAAGAAAAGAAAGAAAUGGGGUCUGCAAAGAGUUUUGUUUUUUCAAUUCAUCGAUGCCUUAUGAAGUAGAUGGGCUGUUAGUUCCACUCUAGUGCAAGAACCACUCCCUCUUUCCUCUCCGCCUCAGAGUUUACCUAUUUAUUCCAGAAACAAAGGCACAGACGUCAUUGUCACGUUGUGCACUUGAAUUUCAACUCCGAACUGACCACAGUUAAGCUUGAAGCAAAUUGAAAGACUCUGGGUAGAUAGUAUGGGAAAGUCUAAACAAAACAUUGGUGGCCAGGAAGAAUGCCUCAUGGUGACAUGUAAGGAGGCCAGCCAAUGCCCAGACAAGACAAGGAGAGCCUCAGGAAAGACAGGUUAGUGGCCACACCCUCUGAGUUCUCAUCCUGUCCUAUUGAAGAGGAAAUGAGUCUCUGAAUAAGAGUCUUUCUCCUCAUCUAGAAUCCUAAAAUGUUAAAGCUGGAAAGAACCUGAAUAUACUGUCUAAAGCCAAGCCUUCAUUUUACAGGUGAAGAAAACUGAGGGUCUUAGAGGUCAAGGCACUAGUCUGUGGUCACACAGCUGCUUCACGGCAGACCCAGAAGUAGCCUGCGGUUUUCCUGAGGCUCAGUUCACAUCUCUCUGCUCUGAGGAGCCAUUUAUUUUAUUUUAAUUCUUUUAAAAAAUGUAUUUUAUUUUUAAUGGAUAAUUAAUAAUUGCAUAUAUUUAUGAGGUACAAUGUGAUAUUUUCAUGUAUAUGUAUUCAUUAUGGAAUAAUUAAAUCAAGCUAAUUAAGGAAGAAUAAUUUAUUUUUCUUUCUUUCUUUUUUUUUUGAGACGGAGUUUUGCUCUGUCACCCAGGCUGGAGUGCAAUGGCCCGAUCUCGCCUCACUGCAACCUCCACCUCCCGAGUUCAAGAGAUUCUCCUGCCUCAGCCUCCCAGGGGCUGGGAAGUUCAAGAUCCAGGCCUCAGAAGAUUUGGGGUUUGGUGAGGGCCAUCUUCUCACUGUAGCCUUACAUGGUGGAAGAGGUAAGGCAGCUCUCUGGAACCUCUUUUAUAAGGGCACUAAUCCCUUUCAUGAGAACUCAGCCCUUAUGAACUCAUCGCCUCCUAAAUUCUCUACCUCCUAACACCAUCACUUUGACAAUCAGAUUUCAACAUAUGAAUUUGUGGGAGUCACCAGCAUUGAGACUAUAGCAACCCCUUAUUAGAAAUAAUUCAUGAGGAACUGAAACUGUUAGGAAACCACUGUGUAAAUGCUGGGAAACAAAGUCAGAUAAAUAAUGCUGAUAAUUACCUGACUGCUUUUGGAACUGUCCUUUUUUGUGAACAUGAGACUACAUCAUUGUCAGUUGAUUGCAGAAGAACCACUAUGAUAUUAUAAUGGGGUCCUGACUCCAUGACUGUGUAAUUCAUGGCUUUCUAACGGUUUAUUAUUGACCUAACUUUGCAGCUCCCCUAGAUCCCCUAACUCCACCAUCUUGGGUUGCAACCAAUGACCUGUUAUUGCAAAACAGGUAAUCUCACUUAGAUAAGUAUUAAUCAGAGGGGCUUGACUUCCAGAGUUCAUUUCAAUGGUUUUCAACUCAUUUGUAGAGUUUAACAUCAGUAGCCCUUUCUCUUCCAUAGGAGGGAGAUGAACCAUCCUGUUUGUUCAAUAAUCAGUGAGAGCGUGGCUUUAACGUCUCUUCCACUCCUUUCUAGUUCAGGUCUUUCUUAACUUGAUGGAGAUAGCUUGGGCCAGGGAGGGCAGAGUGAAGAUGAGAUGGCAAAAAAAAAAAAGUUUUGAUCAGCAGCAUUGACUCUGUGCUAAAUACUGUGCUCAGCUCUUUGGAUGUUAUUUCAUUGAAAUGGAAAGAACACUGUAAAGUUGUCUUGUGAGGCACACUUUCCUGUUGAGGAAAUAAAAGCAUUAAAUAACUUGCCCCCAAAUACAAAGCUAUUAGGAUUGAAACAAAGACUUGAGCCCGGGAUCUAUCUAAUUUCAAGGUCCUUGUUUUUUUUCUACUACAUUUCUCUUUGAGAUACAGUUACUCAAAGGUGUCCAAACUUCAGUUAAUGUCAACCUCUGCCUCACUCUGGUCCUGGUGCCUUUCCCAUGUUCCUGAGAAGAUCAUGUGGCACACUUCUCUAAACGUCUCUGUGCCAUAUCUCUUGGGAUCAAAAGGCCAUUCCAAUAAUUCUUCUGCAUUUCUUAAUGUAUGCUCAGAUGGCCCUGGUUUGCAUUUAGAGAAAGGAAGCUAAGACCUUGGUGAUAACUAAAUAUUUAUAUCUAUUUUUUGAUUAUGUGCUUGUAUUUAAUUAAGUGGGUGCCUACUGUUGUGAAAAUACUUUUGAAUACAAUUCUGAAGUUGUGCCAGGGAACUCUGACAAUGGGUAUGCUGGGAGCUGUCUGAUUUCCUUGUCCUAGACAACUCAUACAAUGCAGUAGAAAAAGAAUUCUUUAUUCCCACUGCCUUUCCUUAGCCCUUCUUCAGAGCAGGGGAAGUGUGACUGUAGCUUUAAAUAGUUUAAAUAGUCCUUCAAAUACGGCAAAUAAAACAGUAUCAAUGAAAAAGAAGAUAAAAUGAGUGGAUUACUCAUAUGAGUUUCAGUUUUAUCAUUCAGUUUCACAGAACUCCAAAGAAUAAUGUGAUUAAGUGGUUUCUUUUUGCAAGGAUUUUCCAGGUGAAAGAUCUGAGCUAUAUAUUGAGGAACCAUAGGAUUAAAAUAGACAUGGGUUUGCUUCUAUGACAGCAUUUUGCAAAAUAACAUGACCAGGUACUAUUGCUCAUGCCUGUCACCCCAGCACCGUGGUCAAGGCAAGUAGAUCACUUGAGGCCAGGAAUUCAAGACCAGCCUGGCUAACAUGGCAAAACCUCAUCUCUAUUAAAAAUACAAAACUUAGCCAGAUCUGGUGGCACAUGCCUGUAAUCCCAGCUACUCAGGAGGCUGAGGCAUGAGAAUCACUUGAGCCUGGCAGGCAGAGGUUGCAGUGAGCCGAGAUUGUGCCACUGUGCUCCAGCCUGGGUGAUAGAGUGAGACCCUGUCUCAAAACAAACAAACAAAGCAAACAAAAACACACACACAAAAAAACCCACCUCUGAUGUGACCCAUGGAUAGAAAACAACAAAUUAAGUUUUAAUGAGACUAUAUAUGCUUGUACUUUAAAAUGGGGCUAAUUCAUAGAUAUAGAAAACUAUACUUAUGACAGUUCAUAUAAAUGAGCCACUGGACUGUCCAAAUUUACCUCUUUUUAUUGUAUGGAC